rnacentral:rRNA from 1 species
GGUGAAUUGAAUAAUUGAAUAAAGAGUUCUUAGUGGGCCAUUUUUGGUAAGCAGAACUGGCGAUGUGGGAUGAACCAGACGUUGAGAUAAAGUGCCAAAGAUUUCGCUCAUCAGACACCAUAAAAGGUGUUAAUUCAUAUUGACAGUAGGACGGUGGCCAUGGAAGUCGGAAUCCGCUAAGGAGUGUGUAACAACUCACCUACCGAAUGAAUUAGCCCUGAAAAUGGAUGGCGCUUAAGCGAUACACUUAUACUCAACCCAUAGAGAAUUUGUGCAGUCUUUAUGGAGUAGGAGGGCGUAAAGAUUGAUUAGAAGCUUUACCGUGAGGUAUAGUGAAUCUUUCUUUAGUGCAGAUCUUGGUGGUAGUAGCAAAUAUUCAAUAGAGAACAUUGAAGACUGAAGUGGAG